GGGGAAUUUUGGACAAUGGGGGCAACCCUGAUCCAGCCAUUCCGCGUGAGUGAAGAAGGCCUUCGGGUUGUAAAGCUCUUUUGUCCGGAACGAAACGGAUACGUCUAAUACGCGUGUCUACUGACGGUACCGGAAGAAUAAGCACCGGCUAACUACGUGCCAGCAACCGCGGUAAUACGUAGGGUGCGAGCGUUAAUCGGAAUUACUGGGCGUAAAGCGCGUGCAGGCGGUUGUGUACGUUUGAGGUAACAGCUCCCGGCUCAACUGGGAGAGCGUCUCGAAAACGGCACGACUUGAGGGCUAAAGAGGGACAUGGAAUUCCGGGUGUAGUGGUGAAAUGCGUAGAUAUCCGGAGGAACACCAAUGGCGAAGGCAGUGUCCUGGUUAGCACCUGACGCUCAGAUGCGAAAGCUAGGGGAGCGAAC
rnacentral:rRNA from 1 species